rnacentral:rRNA from 1 species
AUUGAACGCUGGCGGCAGGCCUAACACAUGCAAGUCGAGCGGAUGAAGGGAGCUUGCUCCUGGAUUCAGCUGCGGACGGGUGAGUAAUUCCUAGGAAUCUGCCUGGCAGUGGGGGAUAACGUCCGGACACGGGCGCUAAUACCGCAUACGUCCUGAGGGAGAAAGUGGGGGAUCUUCGGACCUCACGCUAUCAGAUGAGCCUAGGUCGGAUUAGCUAGUUGGUGGGGUAAAGGCCUACCAAGGCGACGAUCCGUAACUGGUCUGAGAGGAUGAUCAGUCACACUGGAACUGAGACACGGUCCAGACUCCUACGGGAGGCAGCAGUGGGGAAUAUUGGACAAUGGGCGAAAGCCUGAUCCAGCCAUGCCGCGUGUGUGAAGAAGGUCUUCGGAUUGUAAAGCACUUUAAGUUGGGAGGAAGGGCAGUAAGUUAAUACCUUGCUGUUUUGACGGUACCAACAGAAUAAGCACCGGCUAACUUCGUG